rnacentral:lncRNA from 1 species
GUUUCAAUAGGUGGCUUUUUUGUUUCGUUUUCACUUGUUUGUCAGCUUUCCAUUUAUAAUGAAAAAAAAAAUGCAAGAUUGCAAAAGCCAGCUUUUUCUGCAGUUUCUUUGGUGCUUUUUGCUAAGCAGCCUUGGAGCUACAAAGGUUCACAGUCUUUGAAACAUAGACUCAUACCCUAGAAAUGUUUACAGUGGAAAAAAAGAGUCCUUAAAAUAUAUGAUCACAUAGAGAAUCAUAUGGGAUCUGCUGCCGAUACACCUUCAGAGGUCUGCACCCUGGUAGGGGUGUGCAUGAAGAGGCCUCCCUCCUCAGACAGGCAUAGGUCGCUGGGUCUGUGGAAAUACUGACUUGGUUUUGAGCUGCUAUACAUACUGGCUUCCUGCAGAGGAGGCACCGUGUCUUUGGUUUUAAUGUUUACAGGGCACCAACUCAAGGUUUAGAAUGAGUACUGUGAUACAAAUAUCCUCAGCCGGAUGACAGAGCUUCCUCUGAAGUUGAUGACGGUGUUGACAGUGAUCAUUUCCAAGUCCAACUGAACAGUGCGGGGCCCUUUCACAGGACGGGUCAUCACCAGCGUAGCACUGAUCGGUCCUGUUUGCCGCAUGUAGAAUUCCCUGCCCUCAUUCCCUGAUUUGAUUUGGAAGAUGUAAUAGGCUCCAGGGUAGCGAGUUGUUGCUUGCAUCUGAAAGAUGUCAGAAGGCACUGAACGCCCAGAGAGAACAUCCAUGACUCUGUACAGGAUGGUGAAUGGUUGAUCUCUGCAGCCAGGGUUUUCAGCUGGACACAUACAGCGGUGAUAAGUGUUUUUCCAGUCUAACUUCCCACACAUCUGAGCAUCAUAUCAU